CUGAUAUAUCAUGGCUUUUACAGGUUUUUGGUCAUGAUAUAAGUCUUAUUUAUAGAGCUUUUCUAGUGUUUUCGAGUCUUUUUGAGUCAUUUCAGGAUUAGGAACUAUUUGGCAUGCAUUGGAGCUUUUUGGAGCAUUUGGAGAAGAUGUGUCGAAGGAAUGUACCGUGAAAGUAUAUUUGGUGUGAGUGUCGAGCGUCACAACUUCCGGUGUCGAUCGACACC
rnacentral:lncRNA from 1 species